UACGAAUCGUCCAAACGUUGUUCGGAUUCACUGGGUUUAAAGGGCGCGUAGGCGGUGCGUUAAGUCGGCGGUGAAAUACUUCGGCUCAACCGGAGAAUUGCCGCUGAAACUAGCGUGCUCGAGGAAGGUAGAGGUGCGUGGAACUUCCGGUGGAGCGGUGAAAUGCGUUGAUAUCGGAAGGAACACCUGUGGCGAAAGCGGCGCACUGGACCUUUUCUGACGCUGAGGCGCGAAAGCCAGGGGAGCGAACGGG
rnacentral:rRNA from 1 species